rnacentral:sRNA from 1 species
GCGCCCUGAAAGAGCCCCGGGGUUCACAUGACCUUUUAUACUAACACUGUUGGUAGUAUUUUGUCAACUGAUACAAGCUAGGGUCAUCUGCGAAGAGGGAACCUCCAUCACAUUGGCUUGUAGGUAAGUUUUGGGGGGCGGAUUUUAUUGGUUGACGAUUGAUAUAGAAGGGUCCAGCCUACUGUGGGUGGUGCCACCAGGACAGGGGGUCCUGGUUUGUAUAAAAAACAAAACAAAACAACACUGGCUGAGCAAGCCAUGAGAGUGAGCCAGUAAGCAGCAUCUCUUCGUGGUCUUCAGUUACUUCAGAACUGACUUCGAUGUAGAAAUGGAAGUCAAAUUAACCCUUUCCUCCCCGAGCUGCUUUUGGUCAUGGUGUUUCACCACAGCCAUAGGAACCAAGCUUGGACAACGUUAAAAACAAGGGCACCCUUGUUGUCAGUUAAUCCUUCCAAGUGAACCCCAAAUCUAAACCCUAGUGUUCCAUCUACCACCCUCCAGGUACCCUACGUUCUGAUGGCCCCCUGCCCUCCUACAGGCUGUUCUUGAAGAAUCCUGUUAGUGAAGAUUUCAGUUCACAGUGGGAAACUGACGGGUUCCUGUGGCAUUCAUGGGUAAAGCCAAGAGCCCCAUGAGAUAGUGUGCAACUCUGUCUCUCUACUGGAAGAGUCUUCUGAAACACGGAGUGAAUGGAGCGGACCAUGAGAGUCCACAGCUAGCAGAUGAUGAAGCCCCAUCUCUUUGCCUCAAUACCGUGUGCCUGGGGUGUCUCUCCACACUGACAUCUUUGAAGAUACAACGCCACAGGAGUGUCAUGAGUCUAUUCUGGGCAUGGCUGAGGUCAUCCAUCCAUUCAUCCAACCAAUGCUUACAGAACACAUACUGUGUGCCACUGUGCACAGCUGCAGUGUUUUCUAAAAAAAUGAUGUAAUAUAGCCAUCACCUAAUACCUACCAUUUUAGCUGCUUUUAGCAUGGCCCAUUGGCAACAAGUGCAUUUAUACUGUUGUGUAACCAUUGUUACAGACUAUCUUCAGAACUCCCUCACCUUUUAAAAAAUGAAACUCUGUAUCCAUUAAACACAGUCUCUCAA